rnacentral:rRNA from 1 species
UACAGAGGUCUCAAGCGUUGUUCGGAUUCAUUGGGCGUAAAGGGUGCGUAGGCGGCGCGGUAAGUCGGGUGUGAAAUCUUGGAGCUUAACUCCGAAACUGCAUUCGAUACUGCCGUGCUUGAGGACUGGAGAGGAGACUGGAAUUUACGGUGUAGCGGUGAAAUGCGUAGAUAUCGGAAGGAACACCGGUGGCGAAAGCGGCGCGCUGGACCUCUUCUGACGCUGAGGCGCGAAAGCCAGGGGAGCAAACGGG